rnacentral:rRNA from 1 species
GGUUUUUCGUUGAUAUAUGAAUAAUCAAGCCUGCCCACUGAAGUAAUUUGAAGGGCUGCAGUAUAUUAACUGUACAAAGGUAGCAUAAUCAUUAGUCUUUUAAUUGGGGACUGGAAUGAAAGGUUUGACAGGUUUUAGCUGUCUCUUGGGUAAUAAUUGAAGUUUUAUUCUUGUGAAAAAGCACGAGUGAGCUAAAGGGACGAGAAGACCCUAUUAAACUUUUUUUUGAUUUGAUUAUUUUUCGAUAGAUGAAAAAUAUAGUCAAAUUAAAUUUUACUGGGGCGGUGAGUUAUAAACGUUAUUUUUAUAUAAUAUUUUACUUAGCUAUUUGAUAGAUCCAAAUGGUUGAUAAGGAGAAAUAGUUACUAUAGGGAUAACAGCGUAAUAUUUUUUAAGAGUUCAUAUUGACAAAAAUGUUUGCGACCUCGAUGUUGGAUUAAGAAUUCUUUUAGGUGCAGGAGUCUAAUAUGAUUGUCUGUUCGACAAUUAAAUUCUU